UGAUGAGUUUGAGUGACACCACGUCCUGGCA
rnacentral:piRNA from 1 species